GCUGGGUGUGGCGGUGUGCACUUGUAUUCCCAGCUACUUAGAGGCUGAGGCAAGAGGAUCACUUGAGCUCAGGAAUUUGAGGCUGCAGUGAGCCGUGAUCAGGCCACUGCACUCCAGCUUGGGCAACAAAGUGAGACCAUGUCUCCA
ensembl:misc_RNA Metazoa_SRP Metazoan signal recognition particle RNA